rnacentral:rRNA from 1 species
UACGGAGGGUGCGAGCGUUAAUCGGAAUUACUGGGCGUAAAGCGCAUGCAGGUGGUUUGUUAAGUCAGAUGUGAAAGCCCGGGGCUCAACCUCGGAAUAGCAUUUGAAACUGGCAGACUAGAGUACUGUAGAGGGGGGUAGAAUUUCAGGUGUAGCGGUGAAAUGCGUAGAGAUCUGAAGGAAUACCAGUGGCGAAGGCGGCCUCCUGGCCUAAUAUUGACGCUGAGGUGCGAAAGCGUGGGGAGCAAACAGGAUUAGAUACCCCCGUAGUCC